AGAGUUGAUCAUGGCUCAGGAUGAACGCUAGCUACAGGCUUAACACAUGCAAGUCGAGGGGCAGCAUGGUCUUAGCUUGCUAAGAUUGAUGGCGACCGGCGCACGGGUGAGUAACGCGUAUCCAACCUUCCCUAUAGUAGGGGAUAGCCCGUAGAAAUGCGGAUUAAUACCCUAUGUUGUAUUUUGAGGACAUCUGACGAAUACCAAAGGUUUACCGCUAUAGGAUGGGGAUGCGUCUGAUUAGGUAGUCGGCGGGGUAACGGCCCACCGAGCCAACGAUCAGUAGGGGUUCUGAGAGGAAGGUCCCCCACAUUGGAACUGAGACACGGUCCAAACUCCUACGGGAGGCAGCAGUGAGGAAUAUUGGUCAAUGGGCGAGAGCCUGAACCAGCCAAGUAGCGUGCCAGGAUGACGGCCCUAUGGGUUGUAAACUGCUUUUAUGCGGGGAUAAAGUGAGGGACGUGUCCCUUAUUGUAGGUACCGCAUGAAUAAGGACCGGCUAAUUCCGUGCCAGCCGCUGC
rnacentral:rRNA from 1 species